UUCAUGCUUUGUGUAUCUUUCUUUCUUUCGUUCUUUCUUUCCCGUCUCUCUCCCUCUCUUUCCUUCUAUUUCAUCCUGUCUUUCCAUCUCUUUCACUCUCUUCUUCCCUUUCUUUUUGUCACCUUUUCUUCCUCUCUCCAUCCCUGUCUUUCUCUCUCACCAUAUCUGUCUCUCUCUACCUUUCUCUGUCCUUCUCCUCCCUGCCUCUCUCCUUCUGCCUCUCUCUCCCUCACUCCUCCCUCCCCUCUCCUCCGUCUGUCUGCCCCUCCCUCUCUCUCUCCCUCCCUUAUCUCUCCUUCUGCCGCUCUCCCCCUCCCUCUAUCUCACCUUCUGCCUCUCUCCCUCUAUCUCUCCCUCUCCUUCUCUCUCUCAUUUUCUCCCUCUCUCUCCUCCUCUUUGUCUGUCUGUACUUCUCCCUCUUUCUCCCUCCCUCUAUCUCUCCCUCUCAUCUCCCUCUCUCCCCCUCUCCUUCAUCUGUCUCUCUCUCCCUCUCUCUCUCCCCCUCUUCUCCCUCUCUCCCCCCUCUCCUUCAUCUGUCUCUCUCUCCCUCUUUCUCUCCCUCUCCUCUCCCUCUCCUCUCCCUCUCUCCCCCCUCUCCUUCAUCUGUCUUUCUCUCCCUCUCUCUCUCCCCCUCCUUCUCUCUCUCUCCUCAUCUCUCCUUCAUCUGUCUCUCUCUCCCUCUCCCCCCUCUCCUUCAUCUGUCUCUCUCUCUCCCUCUCUCCCCCCUCUCCUUCAUCUGUCUCUCUCUCCCUCUCUCUCUCCCCCUCCUUCUCUCUCUCUCCUCAUCUCUCCACACACUGAUACAGUGAAGCCAGAUGCGGCUAUACAGUAAUUGCAUUGGGAAGGCAGGGGUCUGACUCUUAUUAAGGCCUCUGUCUUUCCCCCCAGCCCGCACACACACACACACACACACACACACACACACACACACACACACACACACACACACACACACACACACACACACACACACACACACCCUCAGCUGGCGAGAAUAGAGCUCCUUGUCCUUGCAGAGUCUCUCUUUUAUGGGAUGCAUGCAUUGCCAAUCG
rnacentral:lncRNA from 1 species